GACGAACGCUGGCGGCGUGCUUAACACAUGCAAGUCGAACGGAAAGGCCCUGCUUUUGUGGGGUGCUCGAGUGGCGAACGGGUGAGUAACACGUGAGUAACCUGCCCUUGACUUUGGGAUAACUUCAGGAAACUGGGGCUAAUACCGGAUAGGAGCUCCUGCUACAUGGUGGGGGUUGGAAAGUUUCGGCGGUUGGGGAUGGACUCGCGGCUUAUCAGCUUGUUGGUGGGGUAGUGGCUUACCAAGGCUUUGACGGGUAGCCGGCCUGAGAGGGUGACCGGCCACAUUGGGACUGAGAUACGGCCCAGACUCCUACGGGAGGCAACAGUGGGAAAUAUUGCACAGUGAGCGGAAGCGUGAUGCAGCAACGCCGCGUGCGGGAUGACGGCCUUCGGGUUGUAAACCGCUUUCGCCUGUGACGAAGCGUGAGUGACGGUAAUGGGUAAAGAAGCACCGGCUAACUACGUG
rnacentral:rRNA from 1 species